GCAUCAUGAUUUAGCAAGUGUAACCCAAGCGAAGCGUGCUUUAGUUUGGUAUCCCGAAACUGGGUGAGCUACUCCAAGACAGCCUAUUAAUAGGGCACACCCGUCUCUGUGGCAAAAGAGUGGGAGGAGCUUUGAGUAGAGGUGACAGACCUACCGAACCUAGUUAUAGCUGGUUGUUCAAGAAAUGAAUAGAAGUUCAGCCUCCUGGCUUCUCUUUUCACUUUAGUUUAACCCCUAUUGAUGUGCUUAAGAAACCGAGAGAGUUAGUCAAAGGGGGUACAGCCCCUUUGAACCAAGACACAACUUUAUCAGGAGGGUAAAGAUCAUAAUAAACCAAAGGUAAAUAUUUGGGUGGGCCUAAAAGCAGCCAUCCCCUUAGAAAGCGUUAAAGCUCAGAUAUACCGUCAACCCUUCUUAUUCUGAUCACAUAAUCUUAUCCCCCUAAACAUACUGAACCAUCCCAUGCCUGCAUGGGAGUGAUUAUGCUAAUAUGAGUAAUAAGAGAGCCUUUGGCUCUCUCCCUGCACACGUGUACGUCGGAACGGACACCCCGCCGACCAUUAACGGCCCCAAUCAAAGAGGGCACUGAAUAAUAGAUUAAACAACAAGAAAAGCGUUCAGGAAUUAACCGUUAACCCCACACAGGUGUGCCCACAGGGAAAGGCUAAAAGAGAGAGAAGGAACUCGGCAAACACAUCAAAGCCUCGCCUGUUUACCAAAAACAUCGCCUCUUGCAAACUUAAUAAAUAAGAGGUCCCGCCUGCCCUGUGACUAUUAGUUUAACGGCCGCGGUAUUUUGACCGUGCGAAGGUAGCGCAAUCACUUGUCUUUUAAAUGAAGACCUGUAUGAAUGGCAUAACGAGGGCUUAACUG
rnacentral:rRNA from 1 species